GAUGAACGCUGGCGGCGUGCCUAACACAUGCAAGUCGAACGGAGCUGCUUUGAUGAAGUUUUCGGAUGGAUUUAAAACAGUUUAGUGGCGGACGGGUGAGUAACGCGUGGGUAACCUGCCUCACACUGGGGGAUAACAGUUAGAAAUAGCUGCUAAUACCGCAUAAGCGCACAGUUCCGCAUGGAACAGUGUGAAAAACUCCGGUGGUGUGAGAUGGACCCGCGUCUGAUUAGCCAGUUGGCGGGGUAACGGCCCACCAAAGCGACGAUCAGUAGCCGGCCUGAGAGGGGGAACGGCCACAUUGGGACUGAGACACGGCCCAAACUCCUACGGGAGGCAGCAGUGGGGAAUAUUGCACAAUGGGGGAAACCUUGAUGCAGCGACGCCGCGUGAGUGAAGAGGUAUUUCGGUAUGUAAAGCUCUAUCAGCAGGGAAGAAAGUGACGGUACCUGAAUAAGAAGCCCCGGCUAACUACGUGCCAGCCGCCGCAGUAA
rnacentral:rRNA from 1 species